rnacentral:rRNA from 1 species
CAGCCGCCGCGGUAAUGCGAAGGGGGCUAGCGUUGCUCGGAAUUACUGGGCGUAAAGGGCGCGUAGGCGGACAGUUCAGUCAGGGGUGAAAGCCCGGGGCUCAACCUCGGAAUUGCCUUUGAUACUGGGUAUCUUGAGUAUGGAAGAGGUUAGUGGAAUUGCGAGUGUAGAGGUGAAAUUCGUAGAUAUUCGCAGGAACACCAGUGGCGAAGGCGGCUAACUGGUCCAUAACUGACGCUGAGGUGCGAAAGCGUGGGGAGCAAACAGGAUUAGAUACCCCCGUAGUCCCUGUCUCUUAUAC